rnacentral:rRNA from 1 species
GUCGAGCGAAUCGAUGGGAGCUUGCUCCCUGAGAUUAGUGGCGGACGGGUGAGUAACACGUGGGCAACCUGCCUAUAAGACUGGGAUAACUUUGGGAAACUGGAGCUAAUACUGGAUACGUUCUUUUCUCGCAUGAGAGAAGAUGGAAAGACGGUUUACGCUGUCACUUAUAGAUGGGCCUGCGGCGCAUUAGCUAGUUGGUGAGGUAAUGGCUCACUAAGGCGACGAUGCGUAGCCGACCUGAGAGGGUGAUCGGCCACACUGGGACUGAGACACGGCCCAGACUCCUAUGGGAGGCAGCAGUAGGGAAUCUUCUGCAAUGGACGAAAGUCUGACGGAGCAACGCUGCGUGAACGAAGAAGGCCUUUGGGUCGUAAAGUUCUGUUGUUAGGGAAGAACAAGUACUAGAGUAACUGCUGGUACCUUGACGGUACCUAACUAGAAAGCUAUGGCUAACUACGUGCUAGCAGCUGCGGUAAUACGUAGGUGGCAAGCGUUGUCUGGAAUUAUUGGGCGUAAAGCGCGCGCAGGUGGUUCCUUAAGUCUGAUGUGAAAGCCUACGGCUCAACUGUGGAGGGUCAUUGGAAACUGGGGAACUUGAGUGCAGAAGAGGAAAGUGGAAUUCCAAGUGUAGCGGUGAAAUGCGUAGAGAUUUGGAGGAACACUAGUGGCGAAGGCGACUUUCUGGUCUGUAACUGACACUGAGGCGCGAAAGCGUGGGGAGCAAACAGGAUUAGAUA